AUGCCACCAGACCGAGAGAUAGAAUUCAGCAUUGAGCUAGCACCCGGAACCGCCCCCAUAUACAAGAAACCAUACAGAAUGGCACCAUCCAAAUUGGUAGAACUAAAGAAGCAAAUAAAAGAAUUACUGGACAAAGGUUAUAUACGAGCCAGCUCCUCACCCUGGGGUUCACCAAUUUUAUUUGCCAAAAAGAAGGAUGGAACACUGAGAUUGUGCAUAGACUAUCGAGCGCUUAACAUGGUCACAAUCAAGAACAAAUAUCCGAUGCCACAGAUAAAUGAUUUAUUUGAUCAGCUCGCUCAGGCCAAGGUAUUCUCAAAAAUUGACUUGAGGUCGGGAUACCAUCAAUUAAAAGUGUGA
rnacentral:rRNA from 1 species